UACGGAGGGGGCUAGCGUUGCUCGGAAUUACUGGGCGUAAAGCGCACGUAGGCGGCUUUGUAAGUUAGAGGUGAAAGCCCGGGGCUCAACUCCGGAAUUGCCUUUAAGACUGCAUCGCUAGAACGUCGGAGAGGUAAGUGGAAUUCCGAGUGUAGAGGUGAAAUUCGUAGAUAUUCGGAAGAACACCAGUGGCGAAGGCGACUUACUGGACGACUGUUGACGCUGAGGUGCGAAAGCGUGGGGAGCAAACAGG
rnacentral:rRNA from 1 species